ACGGAGAGUUUGAUCCUGGCUCAGGACGAACGCUGGCGGCGUGCUUAACACAUGCAAGUCGAACGGUAAGGCCCUUCGGGGUACACGAGUGGCGAACGGGUGAGUAACACGUGGGUGAUCUGCCCUGCACUUCGGGAUAAGCCCGGGAAACUGGGUCUAAUACCGGAUAGUACUGCGCGGUGCAUGCCGUGUGGUGGAAAGAUUUAUCGGUGCAGGAUGGGCCCGCGGCCUAUCAGCUUGUUGGUGGGGUAAUGGCCUACCAAGGCGACGAUCCAUAGCUGGUCUGAGAG
rnacentral:rRNA from 14 species